GUCCUUGCCGUAAACGAUGUGUACUUGAUGUAGUUAGGCUCAACCCUGACUGUGUCGAAGCUAACGCGAUAAGUACACCGCCUGAGGAGUACGCUCGCAAGGGUGAAACUCAAAAGAAUUGACGGGGGCCCCGCACAAGCAGUGGAGCAUGUGGUUUAAUUCGAUGCAACGCGAAGAACCUUACCUGGGCUCGAAAUGUAAACGACGAUUACAGAGAUGUAAUUUUCCGCAAGGACGUUUAUAUAGGUGCUGCAUGGCUGUCGU
rnacentral:rRNA from 1 species